UACAGAGGGGGCAAGCGUUGUUCGGAAUUACUGGGCGUAAAGGGCGCGUAGGCGGCCUGCUAAGGCGAACGUGAAAUCCCUGGGCUCAACCCAGGAACUGCGUCCGAUACUGGUUGGCUUGAAUCCGGGAGAGGGACGUGGAAUUCCAGGUGUAGCGGUGAAAUGCGUAGAUAUCUGGAGGAACACCGGUGGCGAAGGCGACGUCCUGGACCGGCAUUGACGCUGAGGCGCGAAAGCCAGGGGAGCAAACGGG
rnacentral:rRNA from 1 species